rnacentral:lncRNA from 1 species
UACCGACUCGUCCACCAUGAUCCCUAUUCUGUGUGACAUGCGUAAACUGAGACUCAUCGGUGAAUCAAAUAUCACCCUGUGGCUGUGUCUCAUAAACGGUGGUCUCAUGUCCUCCAGUUUCUCUCUGAUCAUCAGAUCCAUGGCUACUACUACCAGUAUCAUCAUCACUCUCCCUGGUGUCCGUAUCUGAAUCAGAUCGCUCCUGUACUCUCGAGAGUGGUGCAUGUGCAACUGUCUUUUCUUUUCCCCCCUUAUGCCCCUCUGUGACUGAGUUUCCUGUGAUUGGGAGGAUGGAUGCCUUCUUGCUGGCUGUCGGGAGGAACGUCUAUACAUCUCUCGCUCGAAUCUCUAGAAAGAUGUAUCGGAUAGCGAGUCAUAUGAUGAAUGAGUUCCUUGUAUCCCCUCAGACUGUGGCUGAUCAGCUGGAACCCUAUGUGGAAUAUUUUUUUCUGCCCAUUGUCCUGGAUCCACCCUAAUUUCCCUUGCCACCACACUGGCUGGUCGUGGAGGGGAUCCU